UGUUCUAGAGAUAGCUUUUCCAGGCAGAACUGCAGUUUUAAUUUGAAAUUGGGAAGCUGGAAUCAAGAAGCCACAGGAAUACGACACCACCAUUACUGCGGUCACUGCACAACUACCCAGGAGGCUGGAGGAGGGAACCUGGAAUCCUGUUGCAGGAAAGCCUCAUGUUUCCUGGACUGUGCUUGCCAGGAGAAAAGCAACUAAAAGGAGCAGCACUCUACUCUCUGGGAAAUUUCAGCAUGGAGAGAAAGAAAGUUUUACCGCCAAUUUGUGCCUGAAACGCAAGAUGAACAGACGUCUGCUGCAUUAAAAAAGGACAUAGGCAUGCAUUAAAUCCCUUAUGUCUUACUUUUUAAUGAUGCAAUUGUGAAUUAUGUUCUUGUUGCAUUUGUAAUUAGAGGCUGCAGCAGAUGGUGAAGACUUAUUUUAAAGUGAUGUGUCUAUUAAAAUAAGCCACACUGCCAAAUGAUUGUUCACUGUAACGGCAUCUUUACGCCCCUGAAACACUCCGAUUCUUUGUUG